GGGGUAGCACCGGUUUCGAUUGCCGGUGCGCGGAAAAGUAAGCAUGCAGAGGAACGAGUGGCCUCUAUAAAACAUUCGGCCUAAAUUUAAAUGCAGAUAAUGCAAACAACAACGCUAACGCUCAGUUGGCGUACGCUGCUUAAUUUAUAAGCAGUUCGUCUGUGCCUUUUUCCCUCCGAGAGGAUGCAGGCGUCAAUUAGGAGGGGAACUGCCGUUUUGAGGUGAAGUCGGCAAAGCGGUUGAUUUUUGAUUUCUGCCGAAUGUUCCCUUCGGUCGCAGAGGGGCAUUCGUAAGAUAAUUGCGGCAUAAGCAUGUAGAAAGCUUUUUGGCAAUCCGGUAAGACGCGAGUUCAACUCUCGCCUACUCCACCA
rnacentral:tmRNA from 1 species